AGUCCUUGUCUACUUCUCGACACCGUAAUUUUUUUCUGUUGCGGUUGAUUAAUGGGAAGUAGCCAUGGACCCAGGUUCGGUUUUGGGUUGAAAGGACUAGAGGAUUCAAAAGACGCAAGCUUUUUUUGUGAGGAAACUAACGAGAGAAGAAUGUUACACAAUGCUACCGAAAGCCUGGAUCAAAACUGCACUAAAACACAA
rnacentral:lncRNA from 1 species